ACCCACUUCUUUGAUAUGAUUAGUGGAGCCCAAGAAUCACCGGAGCGACUCCGAAGAAUCACAGAAGUUCACUUCUCAAAUUCACUGACAUUUCCGUCGUUGUAGCAACGAUUACGAAGCAAGAACAUGGGUUCCCAUUUUAGGGUUUCUGUUAUACCCUUCUUUCUCUUGUUCACUCUCCUUUCCUCCUCGGCGCAGAAGCAUGUAUGGUAAUCGAGAGAGGUAGGGCAAGAAUGGAUAGACAUAUUUGUGUGCAGAGAAUGAUAUAUUUUGAGUAUUUCGUGGUGAAAUGACGACUGCAGCUUUGUUUGAGGGCUGGACUCUCUGGCCUUUCAGUUGUCUUAUAAAUGGCUCUGAGCCGGGUUCUUGGCCUUGCGAAUGACAAUGCAAUAUUGUAAGAGAAAGGCCUUGUUCAAUAGUUUACUUAGAGGAGUAUAUAUGUAGGUAUCAUCCAUAUCUUGUUUAGUUUCGAAUUCAAUUGAAUCUUAUAUUAUGGUAUUUAUCAUCUUGCAGAUGCAAGUCUAGGGUAAGUUAUGCAUCUCACUUUUAAUACAUGGAAUUGGAUCCAAUUUGGUUAGAAAGGUUAUACUCAUUUGUAGGAGUUGUUUUAGUCUUAUUUGAAUUAAUAAACAGUUUAUACUCGUAUUUAAAAUUUCUUGGAAUUUUUGGAUUUGAA